rnacentral:rRNA from 1 species
UGGGGAAUAUUGCACAAUGGGCGCAAGCCUGAUGCAGCCAUGCCGCGUGUGUGAAGAAGGCCUUCGGGUUGUAAAGCACUUUCAGCGAGGAGGAAGGUGGUGAACUUAAUACGUUCAUCAAUUGACGCUACUCGCAGAAGAAGCACCGGCUAACUCCGUGCCAGCAGCCGCGGUAAUACGGAGGGUGCAAGCGUUAAUCGGAAUUACUGGGCGUAAAGCGCACGCAGGCGGUUUGUUAAGUCAGAUGUGAAAUCCCCGGGCUCAACCUGGGAACUGCAUUUGAAACUGGCAAGCUAGAGUCUCGUAGAGGGGGGUAGAAUUCCAGGUGUAGCGGUGAAAUGCGUAGAGAUCUGGAGGAAUACCGGUGGCGAAGGCGGCCCCCUGGACGAAGACUGACGCUCAGGUGCGAAAGGCGUGGGGCAGCAAACAGGAUUAGAUACCCCUGGUAGUCCACGCUGUAAAACGAUGUCGAUUUUGGAGGUUGUGCCCUUGAGGCGUGGCUUCCGGAGCUAACGCGUUAAAUCGACCGCCUGGGG